rnacentral:rRNA from 1 species
UACGAAGGGGGCUAGCGUUGCUCGGAAUCACUGGGCGUAAAGCGCACGUAGGCGGCUUCUUAAGUCAGGGGUGAAAUCCUGGAGCUCAACUCCAGAACUGCCUUUGAUACUGAGGAGCUUGAGUCCGGGAGAGGGAUGUGGAAUUCCAGGUGUAGCGGUGAAAUGCGUAGAUAUCUGGAGGAACACCGGUGGCGAAGGCGGCAUCCUGGACCGGUAUUGACGCUGAGGCGCGAAAGCUAGGGGAGCAAACGGG